rnacentral:rRNA from 1 species
AGGAUGAAAAUCGGACUUAGUGAUCCGGUGGUUCUGCGUGGAAGGGCCAUCGCUCAACGGAUAAAAGCUACCCUGGGGAUAACAGGCUUAUCUCCCCCAAGAGUCCACAUCGACGGGGAGGUUUGGCACCUCGAUGUCGGCUCAUCACAUCCUGGGGCUGUAGUAGGUCCCAAGGGUUGGGCUGUUCGCCCAUUAAAGUGGUACGCGAGCUGGGUUCAGAACGUCGUGAGACAGUUCGGUCCCUAUCCGUCGCAGGCGUAGGAAAUUUGAGAAGACCUGUCCUUAGUACGAGAGGACCGGGAUGGACGUACCUCUGGUGUACCAGUUGUCCUGCCAAGGGCAUGGCUGGGUAGCUAUGUACGGAAUGGAUAAGCGCUGAAAGCAUCUAAGCGCGAAGCCAACUUCAAGAUAAGAUUUCCCACCGCAAGGGUAAGACCCCAGAAAGACUAUCUGGUUGAUAGGUCGAAGGUGUAAGUGCAGCAAUGUAUUUAGCUUAUCGAUACUAAUAGGUCGAGGACUUGACCAAU